UACGAAGGGGGCUAGCGUUGUUCGGAAUCACUGGGCGUAAAGGGCGCGUAGGCGGCUUUAUAAGUCGGGGGUGAAAGCCUGUGGCUCAACCACAGAAUUGCCUUCGAUACCGUAUGGCUUGAGACCGGAAGAGGUAAGUGGAACUGCGAGUGUAGAGGUGAAAUUCGUAGAUAUUCGCAAGAACACCAGUGGCGAAGGCGGCUUACUGGACCAUAACUGACGCUGAGGCACGAAAGCGUGGGUAGCAAACAGG
rnacentral:rRNA from 1 species